GCAGCCGCGGUAAUUCCAGCUCCAAUAGCGUAUAUUAAAGUUGUUGCAGUUAAAAAGCUCGUAGUUGAACCUUAGGCCCGUGCGGGUGGUCCGUCCUCUGGGCGAGCACUGCUCCGUCGCGGGUCUCACCUUCUGGCGAGCGUGGAUGCCAUUCACUUGGUGUCCGCGGGAACCAGGACCUUUACCUUGAAAAAAUUAGAGUGCUCAAAGCGGGCUCGUACGCUUGAAUACAUUAGCAUGGAAUAAUGAAAUAGGACGACGGUUCUAUUUUGUUGGUUUCCGGGACAGUCGUAAUGAUUAAUAGGGAUAGUUGGGGGCAUUCGUAUUCAAUUGUCAGAGGUGAAAUUCUUGGAUUUAUUGAAGACGGACUACUGCGAAAGCAUUUGCCAAGGAUGUUUUCAUUAAUCAAGAACGAAAGUUGGGGGAUCGAAGACGAUCAGAUACCGUCGUAGUCUCAACCAUAAACUAUGCCGACUGGGAAUCGGGCGAUGUUAUUUUUCGUGACUCGCUCGGCGCCCCGAGGG
rnacentral:rRNA from 1 species